rnacentral:tRNA from 1 species
GUUCCUGUUGCUCAGUUGGUAGAGCAUGGUGUUUGCAACGCCAGGGUUGUGGGUUCGAUUCCCACGGGGGGUC